CUUUGUGGUUGCUUUGCGUCUCUUUGUGUUUGUUAAGCAUAGUCCUUGUAGGUUCAGAACCUGGUUGGAUUAUUUAGUAAUCCAUCCACAGAACAACAAGCCAUCUUCUUCUCACUGUCCGACCCUGUCAGGAGGACUCAGAGGGGGACUGUUCCACUUGUGGCCACGCCUUCAGCUCCACCCCUGUUCAACACGAUGCUGACAGGUUUAAUGUCACAGACAGGGAGGAUGGCGUUCUUUCAGCACGGAGGGGACAAUGGUGGACCCCUAUCAGGCCCGCUCCAGACCUGCCUGCCCAGACCUCAGCCUUCCUGCCAGGCUCCGGGCCAUGACAUUUUGAUUGAGCACACUGGGUCGGUGGCGGUAACAAGCCACCGCUGAGAUGUCGCUGCUGAUUUGGGCUUCGUCUGCCAGGCUGUGACUUUGACCCAGCGAGGGGAGGGAUAGGAGGGAACUCUUCAUCCCAGCCAUUACUCUCAGUCUGCUGGCUGGGACGCUGACCUUUGUGCCAGUGUUGGUUUGGAAGUAAAUGGCGAUUAGUGCUGUUGUGCUGAGCAGGAAUGUGACGGUGAUGUGCUGGCAGGUGUGAACCGAGCCUGCAGGAUGCCGAGCGCCGGAUGAGAGGGUUUCAGGCAGGUGUAUUAUGUAAUAAAACAUAAUGCUGGA